rnacentral:rRNA from 1 species
UACUCGGAAUUACUGGGCGUAAAGCGUGCGCAGGCGGUUUUGCAAGACAGAUGUGAAAUCCCCGGGCUCAACCUGGGAAUUGCAUUUGUGACUGCACGGCUAGAGUGUGUCAGAGGGGGGUAGAAUUCCACGUGUAGCAGUGAAAUGCGUAGAGAUGUGGAGGAAUACCGAUGGCGAAGGCAGCCCCCUGGGAUAACACUGACGCUCAUGCACGAAAGCGUGGGGAGCAAACAGG